rnacentral:rRNA from 1 species
GGCGCACGGGUGAGUAACGCGUGGAUAAUCUGCCUUUUAGUUGGGAAUAACGUACCGAAAGGUGCGCUAAUACCGGAUAAUACUGCACAACUACUGUUAUGUAGUCAAAGAAGGCCUCUGUUUACAAGCUUUUGCUGAAAGAUGAGUCCGCGUACCAUUAGCUAGUUGGUAGGGUAAUGGCCUACCAAGGCUACGAUGGUUAGCUGGUCUGAGAGGAUGAUCAGCCACACUGGAACUGAGACACGGUCCAGACUCCUACGGGAGGCAGCAGUGAGGAAUAUUGCGCAAUGGGGGCAACCCUGACGCAGCAACGCCGCGUGAGUGAGGAAGGUUUUCGGACCGUAAAGCUCUGUCGAGUGGGAAGAAAUGUAUUAUGGCUAAUAUCCAUGAUACUUGACGGUACCGCUAAAGGAAGCACCGGCUAACUCCGUGCCAGCAGCCGCGGUAAUACGGGGGGUGCAAGCGUUGUUCGGAAUUAUUGGGCGUAAAGAGCGUGUAGGCGGCUGAAUAAGUCAGAUGUGAAAUCCCUGGGCUUAACCCAGGAAGUGCAUUUGAAACUAUUCAGCUUGAGUAGGGGAGAGGAAAGUGGAAUUCCUGGUGUAGAGGUGAAAUUCGUAGAUAUCAGGAGGAA